GAUGAAGAACGUAGCGAAAUGCGAUAAGUAAUGUGAAUUGCAGAAUUCAGUGAAUCAUCGAAUCUUUGAACGCACCUUGCGCCCUUUGGCCAUUCCGAAGGGCAUGCCUGUUUGAGUAUCAUGAACACCUCAACUCUUCAUGGUUUUCCAUGAUGAGCUUGGACUUUGGGGGUCUUGCUGGCCUGUGGGUCGGCUCCUCUCAAAUGAAACAGCUUGCCGGUUUUUGGUGGGCAUCACAGGUGUGAUAACUAUCUACGCUUGUGGUUUUCCACCAGGGUAACCUUCAGCAGUGGAGGUUCACUGGAGCUUACAAAUGUCUCUCCUCUGUGAGGACAGCCCUUUGAAUGUUUGAUCUCAAAUCAGGUAGGACUACCCGCUGAACUUAAGCAUAUCAAUAAGCGGAGGA
rnacentral:misc_RNA from 1 species